GAACUGAGCACAACCUUUAUAUAGAUCAGAGGGCUUGGAAACCCGCCUGGCUGUCCUGGUUCCAAGUUCCUCAGUGAAGGGGCUGCAGGCAGGUCAGGCCACAGCUGUCAUUGGCAUCUGGGUCUCACACAGAGGACAAUGCCCUGGAACUCCAGGCAUGCCACGACAGCUGCCCGAGGGUAUCUGAAGGGCGCUGUGAAAGGAGAACCUCCUUAGAUUUUGUCCCCAGCCAGCCAGUCAGCCCAGGCUGAAAACAUGAUGGGAGAAAAAGCCACCAACAGUGGCUCCCAGUGGGACCUCUGCUCCAGAGUGGGGACAGUGGGGACAGCUGGAUCCCAGGCCAAAGGGAAGCGCACAGAGAGAAACCCCAACAACCUGGGUCAAAAUUCAGCAUUGCCCAAGGCAAAGGCUCUGGCUGUGAGGCGGACCGCAAGGAUCCUCUCUGACCCUCAGGUUUUUUUCAUAUGAGAAAUGGACCUGAUGUAGACAUCUGCUUUAUGGUGUGGUUUGGAUAGGGAGGAAUCUGGUCAGUGCCUGGCAUUCCGGGAGAGGUGGGACAAGCUGGUGACAAGCACUUGUUGUCACUGGGACCUCAGUGCAGGAAAAUCGCCGCACAGAGGCUGGGAAUGCCACAGUGUGAAGCCCUCAUCCAGUCCUGAGGACCCAUACCAUCUUCUCUAGAGCCGAGGGCAUGUCCAUUUGAACUCAGCUGGCUCAGAGCAUCUGCCUCAAGUGUUGAGUGUCUGUGGCCUGGAGCAGGAAGAGGAGCCAGGAAGGCAGAAAACAAUAAUCUCAAUUUCUCUCUAUCCCAUCCCCACCGUGUGUGUGUGUGUGUGUGUGUGUGUGUGUGUGUGUGUGUCUGUCUGUCUGUCUGUCUGUCUGUCUGUCUGUCUGUCUGUCUGUCCUCCCACUCCUGGAUCUUCACAGGCCAACUGCAGCCAUAGCACAUAGUAGAGAUGCCAAGGUCUGGUCUGGUGAAGUCAUCUGGCCCGGGGGGCCCCCCGGAAAACUGACCUGGAACCCCAGCCUUCAAUGAUUGAAGCACUCCGGUGGAUCAAAGUCAAUCGCUAAGUGACCUUAACUGUCAGGCUAAGGAGGGGAGGGUCAUCCGAGCGGGACACAGGGGAAAGAGUUGGAAUAGGAGUGUGUGAAGGGUGGGGGGUAGGGUGGUGAGAGAGAGGAGACCCCAGAGUAUUGGGAGCUACUGCCAUAGGCAAGACCUGGGGCAGAAUUAGAAGGAACUAUAUUUCAAACAUCAGAGGGCAAAAUAGAAAACAAGGGUUGAAUCAAGAUGGCGGGGGCUUUGGGUCUGGAAAUCCAGGGAAUGGGAGAGUUAGAAAUGAAAAGAGUUGGGGGAUAAAGAGGUUCGAGAAAGACUUCGCACUGUGGUGGUCCACCCAGUGUUGUGUGUAAGCUGAGUUGUCUGAACAUGACUGUGCCCAGGAGCAUUCUAGAAUGUUGAAGGUAGUUCCAUGUGUCCAUUUUCUAGAGGUAACUGAAGCAUAGGGCUGUGGUGCCUGGCAGAGCAGUGCUCAGAGACCAGUGGCCCCCAGGAGGCCCUCCCUGCCCGCCACCCCCUAGUUGGAGAGGUUGCUUCCCCAGGGAUGGCUGUCACCAGCACCUUUGGAGUCUUGACAGAAGGAGAUAAGCUAUCCUUGGUGACAGCAGCCAUCAGCCACAGCUCUAAGCUGACUGGGCCUUCUUUCUAUAAAGACUCGGACUUCAUCACCCUCCUUAAAGAGCCCAGCACCCAAGGCAGGUUGGCCAUGGUGAGGCCACUUCCGGAAGAGACCAGCAAGCCAUGGUGAGCAAACUGAGGCUCAGAGAGGACAAAAAACCUACCCCGUGUCACACAGCUGCUCAGUGCCCAAGCAAGGAAAACCAAAGAAGCCCAGACAUUCCCAAGUGGGCUGAGUUGCUUCUCCAGGCCACAUCUUUCUGCCAGGGAUUGUGUCAGAUGUCUCUGUGAUUCCUCGAACUGCAGAGUCUGGUGUAUUUUGCACUUGUCCUGAGCUGUGUCCUCUCGGCUGUAUGGCACACACUGACGUCCCCACAACCAGAACCACCAUGAGUACAUCAUUUUGUGCCAAGGAAACAUUUUGUUUUUUGGUUUUUGAAACAGGGUUUCUUUGUUUAGCCCUGGUUGUCCCAAACUCACUCUGUAGACCAUGCUGGCUUGGAACUCACAGAUAUCCACCUGCCUCUGCCUCCUGAGUGCUGGGAUUAAAGGCGUGCACCACCAACACCGGCUCAAAACAUUUUUUUCCAGCCUAGUAUCGGGAUUAAAGCUGGAACUAGCGGGUCCUGUAACCCACUUCUCCACCUUUAGUACAGAGGCAAAGACUUGGCUUCAUCUGGUCACUUCUGAGUUUUAUGUGAAUUUCCCUGAGGUUUGGCAUUGGGGUUAUUUGGUUUGAUUCUUUGCUUCAUUAGAGGAAUAAAUCAAAACUUAGGCUUUUAAAAGCAAAGGUAUUUAAUGGAUCAACUCAGCACCUAGGAGACGAAGACAGGAAGAUCAGGAAGUCAAGGUCAUCUCUGCUACACAAUCGCAGCCUGGGCUAUGUGAGAUACAACAUAAAAUACAAAAAAACAAAAACAAAACAGAAAAUACAUGGUAUUCCUUCCUACUGUGUUAUACUGAAAACAGUUGGGCACACAUCCCUAUUAUACUCUGAAAAGUUGGGCACACAACCUGAGAUUCUCAAAGUUCAUCUCUGCUGAGUGCUGAGUUAAUUAUCGGUGUUACUAUAACACAGCACCAGAGGCUGGAUCGUUUGCAAACACAAGCGAUUUAUUGCUCCAAAGGCUGGAGGCUGCUGAGGGCAGAGAGUUUACUAGUCUCUUUUCCUCUUACUAAGUCACUAAUCCCACCUGAGGCUCGGGGGUUGGGGGGGCAUCCUUGUUACCUCAUCUAAUCUCAGUCACACCUCACAGACACCCCCCCCCGGGCACUGCCAAAUGUGGACUUGGGGACUAAACUCCCAAUCCAGGAGCUUCAGGGAGAAACAUCUAAACCCCAGUGUCCCCUGACUCCAGGAGUACACCAGAUCCAGCACACAGUAGGGCUCCAAUAAAUACUUAAGUCCUUAAAGUAGGGAUAAAAUCAUUUUUGUGUUUAUAAAUGACCUACAUUUUCUUCUCGUCUCUUAAAACUGUCAAUGGGUUAUUAUUUUUGUGUACACACACACACACACACACACACACACACAGGCACUCGUGCGCGCGCCUGCAGUGUGCACACGUAUGCACUCGUAUGUGUGCUCACACGCAGGUUCAGGUACUUAUGGGUUUCAGGUGACCCUGCUCGGACACCUCUUGGGGAAGGGGGUGAGAAAAUGCAGCACCAACAACUCAGGCACUGGGAGUCAGUGAGUAGCAGAGCAGGCUGCACACUUCCUUUAUUAAGAAGGUAGGCCUGGGCUGCAGAGAUGGCUCAGAGGCACCAACUGCUCUUCCAGAGGUCCUGAGUUCAAUUCCCAGCAACCACAUGGUGGCUCACAACCAUCCGUUAUGAGAUCUGGUGCCCUCUUCUGGUGUGCAGAUAUACAUGGAAGCAGAAUACUGUAUACAUAAUAAAUAAAUAAAAUCUAAAAAAUAAAACAUUACUAAAAUAAAAAUAUAUUAAAAAAAAAAAAGGUAGGCCUGCCUCUAUACACCCUCUCCAGGUCCUAUUGGCUCAGACGGCUGACUCUGCUGCGCUGUCCUUUUCUUAUUGGUGUCUCUGGGUCA
ensembl:lncRNA